UCUUCUUCUGAGAUGGAUUCUUUUGGAGAUGAAAGAAGCUGAAACACACUGGUAACAUCAGGAAAAGACUUCCAGGCUUGAAAUGCAGUCUUUUUACCUUUUCCAGCAAAGAACGACACAGUAUCACAACCAGUGACAGCAUGAAAGAAGGGUAGGGCUUCACAUUGCUCCCUACUCAACGAGCUUUGUGUAAUGUUAUGAAUUGGAAUUCCUUACCUCUGCCAUCAUCAAGAGAAGAAAGUGGAAUGUUAAUAGGUAGCGAAUCAAGUUUCUCGAAUUCUUUCAAGUUUUCUGCAAUUGUCUUGUAACUUGAGCCAGCAAGUAAAGUAUUUGAAGCUUU